CUCCCUAGGGAGGUGUUUAGGGCACGUCCAACCGGUAGGAGGCCACGGGGAAGACCCAGGACACGUUGGGAAGACUAUGUCUCCCGGCUGGCCUGGGAACGCCUCGAGAUCCUCCGGGAAGAGCUAGACGAAGUGGCUGGGGAGAGGGAAGUCUGGGUUUCUCUGCUUAGGCUGUUGCCCCCGCGACCUGACCUCGGAGGGCGGAAGAAGAUGGAUGGAAAACUUUUGUUACUGUACCCAAUUCAGGUGUACCUAAUGAAGUGUCCAUUCAGUGUACAUUUGUCCCUAGCGCAUCAACAUUUUCGGUCAGUGUGGCGUAACCUGACCCCGUUUGCAUUUCGUACCCUUGACUGUCCAGAAUGCAACCUGAGUGCCAGGAUGUGGAGGAAGGAGGCGGUCGUAUCCGCUCAUGGUCGUCCUGCAUCUGAAGCCUGAUUGGACGACGCAGGCCCCAAAAGAUGUUCAAUAGGCCUUCAACGAUCAGCUCGCCCUCUUCCUGGCAGCAUGAGAGGCACUGGGAGGAGAAACAAACCACAGAGUUGAUCAUUUUCAGCAGAGUCUUGUGAUUACUCAUGACCAAGCAGAAGCCAGCACAGAUGUGAAGACCAGGGCAAACAACACUAGAGUGAUUGCAUGAAAGAAGCUUCUGUGAGGGGAAAACAGGUGCAGGACACAUGCGCAACCCGCUGAGCGAAGCCAAAGUCCUAGCAGCUGCUGCUACAUGGACAUAAGCAUCCAUCACAUGAACCUGGAAACCGGAGAGACCGAUAAGGGCCACAGUAGGGGUGAUGGUCAGAGGUCCAAUAUACUUCAAGAGGAGUCCGGGCAGACCCAGUGCCCCAAUACACACCUCCACGAGAGAAGACACAAUGAUGGCCCCUUGGAUCUGAACCGCAAGACAAUAAAGGUUGAACACACUUUUUACAUUGUUGAAUGAACAAUACCUGAGCAGUCAUAUUUACAAUGUAUAUUUAUUCGGUAGAGUCUUGAUACCAAUUUCCUUGAGCAGCCACACACAAAGAAGUUGAAGGCCUCCAUGCUUUUCUAAGUUUUCAUCAGUUAGGUCGUGUAAAAGACUUCUGGAGCACCGGAUA